GACUUUGCUCUUAACAUGCAGAGGAGCCAGAGGCGGGAGCUGGGAGAAGAGAGACUGUUAGGAGGCUGCUGAAAUAGUCCAGGCGAGAGAUCUUGAAGCCCUGAACGUCAAUAUGUGCGGCACGAAGAGGAAGAAUCGAAUCUGAGCCAUUUGGUAUUUGCAAUGGAAAGGACCUCCUAACAGGAGGGGUGAGAUGUGGGAGGAGGAUUUCCAGGCUUUUCAGUUGGCUUGUGACACUACCCAAGACAGGAAGAGAGAGUGAAGUGUCGUUUUGGGCAUGUUGUUUUGGUAAGGACGUGCCUGUGGGUCAUCUAACUGGAGAUGUCCAACAGGCAGGCAGAAAUGUGGGCGUGGAAUCUGGGAGAGAAAACUCUAAUGGAAUAUUUUUCUUAUGACACAUUCCCGUUAAGCCUUCAUUCCUCGGGUUUGGCUAAGGCCACCGUGGACAGAUUGGUGGGGGAAGUGCUGUUCUGAGAUCCUGGGUGUAGUCUUACAGUCCUAACAGCAAGGCAGCUUUCUUUCCCUGUCUCUGCGUGGGGAACAGAAUUUGUGCAGGCUCAAGUGUGCCUGGCAAGAAGGCCAAACUGAAAACACCUUCCACAGCUCUGGGGCCUAACGUUGAAUUUCCAUCUUCAGCCGCACGUUUUCCAGGUGAGCUUCUCAAGCAGGAUAAAUUCCUGCAGAAGCACAGAAAUCUCAGGAGUCCCAAGGUUCCUAGCAAAUUAGAAUCUUGAGGUAGGAGAGGAGCCAGGCCCCACCCCAGAAGCCCAGUAGGAACUGGCACCAAGAGAAAAUCGACAAUAAAAGCAAUUGGUGAUUUGUGCCAUCAGAAGAUAGGCUGGCCAGGACAGGUCAAGGAGAAUGAGACAAGUUACAGCAAAUUUUAAUACAAUUGCUCUGAUUCUAGGUAAUUUCAGGAUAGCAUAAUAGAAUUAUUUUACACUUGAAGAUACUUUGGGAUGCAUGAACAUAAAGCCUCUGCCAUUUGCACUGUUUCAUUUACUGAACACCAAUCCUAUUAGUUUGCUCUAUAUUACAGUUAUUAUCCCCAUUUUAUGGAUGCAGAAAGUGGAGGGCAGACAGGUUAAAUGAUCUCCCUCAAAUCGCCUACCGGGUAAGUGGCAUAUCUGGGAUUUGGAAGCAGCCUGUCUGACUCCAGAGGCUGCCCUCUUAGCCACAGGCUCCACCAGCACGUGUAUGUGACUGACACAUGUGGAUGGCACUUUGUACCGCCAAAAGUACUCUCUUAUAUUUAUGUCCUCCAAAUAGACAGAAACAGGGCCAAGAUGAAACCUUUAGCCCGAGAUGGCUUUUUACAGUGUCCUCUGGGGCUGGAAGGUAGACCCAGUAUCCGGUAUCCUGCAGUACCUUCCAGGCAUGAGCCUAAGAAACAACAUCAGAGUGAAGCACACUGGCUUCUGCUUCACACAGGACAUGCUUCAUAAAGCCUGCGCUUCCUAUAAGAUCACACCUUCCACCUCAGCCCCUAGUCCUGGGACCAGAGCCACCAAGAGGACCUAAAUCAAGUUAUUAAUUGGCUUUCAACCAUAAGGAAGAACUUUCUUGUAUGCCUUACUUAUUUAUAUCAGCAUGGACUCAUGAAUUCUUAUUCAGAAAACCUCAAUACUUAAUAAAAAAAGAUAUGUGUCAUUAAAGCAUCACUCAUGUCUGUUGGAAUUCUUUAAUGUAUGUAUUUUGAUACUCAAUUGUCCCAAAUGUUUGCCAGACACAAUUAUUUCAUUUAAUUCAUUAGCGAUCAAAUUUAAAUCAUUCAAUUCUCAAAACAACUCUAUGAGGUGGGGAUCCCUCUUGAUGUUUCUGCCACACAGGAAUUAUCUCCUCUCCCCUGCC
rnacentral:lncRNA from 1 species